UUUCCGUAGGUGAACCUGCGGAAGGAUCAUUACAGAGUUCAUGCCCUCACGGGUAGAUCUCCCACCCUUGAAUAUUUAUACCUUAGUUGCUUUGGCAGGCCGUGGAAACACCAUGGGCUCCGGCUUAUGCGUGCCUGCCAGAGGAAACAAACUCUGUUUUUAGUGAUGUCUGAGUACUAUAUAAUAGUUAAAACUUUCAACAACGGAUCUCUUGGUUCUC
rnacentral:misc_RNA from 1 species